UGAGGAAUAUUGGUCAAUGGGCGCAAGCCUGAACCAGCCAUCCCGCGUGCAGGAUGACAGCCCUAUGGGUUGUAAACUGCUUUUAUACAGGAAGAAAAAUCCCUACGCGUAGGGACCUGCCGGUACUGUAUGAAUAAGCAUCGGCUAACUCCGUGCCAGCAGCCGCGGUAAUACGGAGGAUGCAAGCGUUAUCCGGAUUCAUUGGGUUUAAAGGGUGCGUAGGCGGCUUUUUAAGUCAGUGGUGCAAUCCUGUCGCUUAACGAUAGAAUUGCCAUUGAUACUG
rnacentral:rRNA from 1 species